AUGAAAAAAAGUUUGAGUUGAUAGUGAUACUGGUUAAAUUUAAUUCAGCUAUAAGUAUUUAAUAUCUAGGUGUUUUAUGGGAAUGUGGAUCUUUCAGAUCAAUUUGAGAAGCAAUUUUGAUAGGUACACUUAAUUUUAUGGUGUCAUGUAGCACUGGGUUUUGGUCUUGGUCUUGACUUGGUCUCAGAGAAGGUGGUCUUGAUUACAACACUGCUACGUGGCUCCUUGGUUGCAUGUCCUCCCCCACCCACGUUCUUUCCAUUGCCUUUCUGUUGGAUUUCUUUCAAAAAAAAUGCCACUAGUGGCAAAAAAAGUGAAGUUCAUGCUAUGUUAGGACAGGAGACAAGAUGUUUCCAUCCCUGAAAUUAUGAUGCAGAGAAUCACAUAACUAAGUCCAAACUAUGUUACAGAGAGUAAACCCAA